CACGCCACCAACAAGCAGCCUCGACUCCAGCAGCCCCCACCGCUUCUUCCUCCCUGGCAGAUUAACUGCAUUUCAUCAAGAUGCAGUCGAUCCUAUACAGUGGACUCCGGGACAAGAUUCACAUUUCAUUCAAUUCUCUGGACAAAAUAAACUGUAUUGAACUGA